rnacentral:rRNA from 1 species
AGCGAACGCUGGCGGCAGGCUUAACACAUGCAAGUCGAGCGGGCACUUUCGGGUGUCAGCGGCGGACGGGUGAGUAACGCGUGGGAACGUGCCCUCUGGUUCGGAAUAACUCAGGGAAACUUGAGCUAAUACCGGAUACGCCCUUUUGGGGAAAGGCUUGCUGCCGGAGGAUCGGCCCGCGUCUGAUUAGCUAGUUGGUGAGGUAACGGCUCACCAAGGCGACGAUCAGUAGCUGGUCUGAGAGGAUGAUCAGCCACACUGGGACUGAGAUACGGCCCAGACUCCUACGGGAGGCAGCAGUGGGGAAUAUUGGACAAUGGGCGCAAGCCUGAUCCAGCCAUGCCGCGUGAGUGAUGAAGGCCUUAGGGUUGUAAAGCUCUUUUAUCCGGGACGAUAAUGACGGUACCGGAGGAAUAAGCCCCGGCUAACUUCGUG